GUUGCGUUGACGUCGAUUCCCAGUUCGAUCAGUGUUUUCAUUGCGCCGAUAAAAUUUUUUGUGUUUUUGUUUCGACACAAAUAAAGGAGCGCAUUCAGCCUAUCGUUGCACUUUUCUUUUUUCUUUUCACUUCCUGCCCAUUGCCUCUGGAAUGCUCCAUUCAGCCGCAUCUCUUGCGCAUUAUUGGUAGCUGUGGCCCCGCACCUGUGUUCUUCUGACACGCCACUUACUGGAGCUGAAAAGAAAAAAAAACUGGCUAUAAUGAGGAGAAUCGUAUAUAGUACGGACAACUGUGUCGGAGAGAACGCAAGAAAUGAAGCCAAACAGUACGAAAGUGUGCCGGAUCGGUUGACGCCCAGUCUACCACGUCCUUUCCGUGAGCGUCUCCGUCGUGUUUUCAGAUUUUUACGAAUUUCAUCUUCAGAACCACCGUACGGAUGUUGCCCGUUGAGGAGAAGGUAACCGAAGACGAGGCCUAGAGCAAAAACAUCACUUUUGAUGGUGCCUCGGUGCCCCUCCGCUGCUUGUGCUUGUGCGUUAUGGGGACAUUUCAACAACUCGGGGGCGUACCAAUUACGGGUUCCUCUUACUCCACUCAACGUGUACGUGCCCCGCUCAUUGACGGGCUUGGAGAGUCCAAAGUCGGCCCAUUUGAUUAUCGGCUCAUCGCAUUGGUCAGUAGAAUCCACGAAGAUGAGAACGUUUUCUGGUUUAAUGUCUCGAUGGGUUACGUUUUUGGAGUGGAUGUGCUCAAGGCCUGAUGCUAACUGAGAGAAAAUGCGGUAAUGGUAUGGUAAUUUAGGUCCUUUGUAUUUUUUAGGGUCGUCUGGAUGUAGAAACACUUGAUCUAACGAAGCAGCACAGCGUUCCAGAUAAAAAUACCUUUCAUAAAAUUAACAGUGAAGAAGAAAAGUGAUUAUAAAAACCUUAAGCGUAAGUAAAGAAUCUAACUUGAAAUUGGCAUCGACUUCACAGUGGAAGAGUUUGACGAUAUUCGGAUGAUUUAAUUGUUUUAGAAUUUCUUCUUCGUUGUUGUUGCCAAGACGAUACACUUCAACUCUUUUGACAGCCACUUCACGGCCUUCGAAUGUACCAGGAAAAACUGAGCCGUAGCCGCCUUGUCCCAGUGGAACUUUUCCAUCAUACGAGGUCUUCCCGCUGAAUUCCGACCAUUGACGUCUUUACAAGUGAUAAUGAAGCUAGAGCAAGUGCAAUCCUUGCGCUUGUUAUCAAGGCAACGUCCGUCGCUUGUUAUCAAGGCUACAUCCGUCGCUGAAACAGUUACAGAUAAAUACUGAACAAACUGCCUAUCUAUCGUGCGUGCUUAAACAAUUAUUAAGUGGCGUGUUUACACUGGAAAUUGAUUUUCCAUUGGAACAAGAUUCUCAGCUGAUGCGAUUGUCAUCCGUAGCGGUAGACAGGACGGAUGCUAACUGUAAAGCUAUUCCCCGUAGCAUGUUACCCAAUUUUGGACGUUAGUCCGACCAACAUUGCGGGACAUUUUCGUCUUUGUUGAUGGGUACACUUCCGUUAUCACCAUUUGUCAUCCAGUCUAGUGGCUCUCGAAUGGUCCAUUCAGUCUUCACCCUAGUGGAUAAUGGGCUGCUGCGGUCUCGGACAAGUGGCAAGGAAUGGAUUUGCGUGCAGCAUGCAAGCAGCCAGUGAGAAUUUACCUUAGCUCCUCGACAAAUUACAUUUUCAAGGUCACAUAAAAUAAAAUGGCAAAAUAAAAAAUGUGGUCGGACAUCUAUCGAUGCUGAAACAACCAAUUGCAGUGCAGUAUCCGAACAAAGAAUUAUGGAAGACUCUUCAACUUUAGCAGUAAACGCUUCAUGGUGCACCGACAAUGCAAAAUCUUCCUCGGAGAUUCAAAUGAGUUUGUAUUUGUUCGUACAAAUGACACGUGUUCCUGAAGUUGAAGCUCUAAUGGCUGCAUUGAAGCUGGAGGGAAGUAAAACAAGCGUGAAACGCCCCAGGUGCAAUGUGACUGUUCCUUCCACUUCGCACGGAGUUGAAUUAUCAAUUACAGACACAAAAAUUCUU